rnacentral:rRNA from 1 species
GACGAACGCUGGCGGCGUGCUUAACACAUGCAAGUCGAACGGAAAGGCUCCAGCUUGCUGGAGUACUCGAGUGGCGAACGGGUGAGUAACACGUGGGUAAUCUGCCCUGCAUUCUGGGAUAAGCCUGGGAAACUGGGUCUAAUACUGGAUAUGACCUUUCUCCUUAUGGGGUUUGGUGGAAAGUUUUUCGGUGUAGGAUGAGCCCGCGGCCUAUCAGCUUGUUGGUGGGGUGAUGGCCUACCAAGGCGACGACGGGUAGCCGGCCUGAGAGGGUGAUCGGCCACAUUGGGACUGAGAUGCGGCCUAGACUCCUACGGGAGGCAGCAGUGGGGAAUAUUGCACAGUGGGCGGAAGCCUGAUGCAGCGACGCCGCGUGAGGGAUGACGGCCUUCGGGUUGUAAACCUCUUUCAGCAGGGACGAAGCGUAAGUGACGGUACCUGCAGAAGAAGCACCGGCUAACUAUGUG